GGUCAGAUCGCAUAUCCGGUAAUGCGUCGGAUUGCAAAUCCGAAGAGAGCGGUUCAAGUCCGCUUCUGACCU
rnacentral:tRNA from 1 species